rnacentral:rRNA from 1 species
AAAUUGAAGAGUUUGAUCAUGGCUCAGAUUGAACGCUGGCGGCAGGCCUAACACAUGCAAGUCGAACGGUAACAGGAAACAGCUUGCUGUUUCGCUGACGAGUGGCGGACGGGUGAGUAAUGUCUGGGAAACUGCCUGAUGGAGGGGGAUAACUACUGGAAACGGUAGCUAAUACCGCAUAACGUCGCAAGACCAAAGAGGGGGACCUUCGGGCCUCUUGCCAUCGGAUGUGCCCAGAUGGGAUUAGCUAGUAGGUGGGGUAACGGCUCACCUAGGCGACGAUCCCUAGCUGGUCUGAGAGGAUGACCAGCCACACUGGAACUGAGACACGGUCCAGACUCCUACGGGAGGCAGCAGUGGGGAAUAUUGCACAAUGGGCGCAAGCCUGAUGCAGCCAUGCCGCGUGUAUGAAGAAGGCCUUCGGGUUGUAAAGUACUUUCAGCGGGGAGGAAGGGAGUAAAGUUAAUACCUUUGCUCAUUGACGUUACCCGCAGAAGAAGCACCGGCUAACUCCGUGCCAGCAGCCGCGGUAAUACGGAGGGUGCAAGCGUUAAUCGGAAUUACUGGGCGUAAAGCGCACGCAGGCGGUUUGUUAAGUCAGAUGUGAAAUCCCCGGGCUCAACCUGGGAACUGCAUCUGAUACUGGCAAGCUUGAGUCUCGUAGAGGGGGGUAGAAUUCCAGGUGUAGCGGUGAAAUGCGUAGAGAUCUGGAGGAAUACCGGUGGCGAAGGCGGCCCCCUGGACGAAGACUGACGCUCAGGUGCGAAAGCGUGGGGAGCAAACAGGAUUAGAUACCCUGGUAGUCCACGCCGUAAACGAUGUCGACUUGGAGGUUGUGCCCUUGAGGCGUGGCUUCCGGAGCUAACGCGUUAAGUCGACCGCCUGGGGAGUACGGCCGCAAGGUUAAAACUCAAAUGAAUUGACGGGGGCCCGCACAAGCGGUGGAGCAUGUGGUUUAAUUCGAUGCAACGCGAAGAACCUUACCUGGUCUUGACAUCCACAGAACUUUCCAGAGAUGGAUUGGUGCCUUCGGGAACUGUGAGACAGGUGCUGCAUGGCUGUCGUCAGCUCGUGUUGUGAAAUGUUGGGUUAAGUCCCGCAACGAGCGUAACCCUUAUCCUUUGUUGCCAGCGGUCCGGCCGGGAACUCAAAGGAGACUGCCAGUGAUAAACUGGAGGAAGGUGGGGAUGACGUCAAGUCAUCAUGGCCCUUACGACCAGGGCUACACACGUGCUACAAUGGCGCAUACAAAGAGAAGCGACCUCGCGAGAGCAAGCGGACCUCAUAAAGUGCGUCGUAGUCCGGAUUGGAGUCUGCAACUCGACUCCAUGAAGUCGGAAUCGCUAGUAAUCGUGGAUCAGAAUGCCACGGUGAAUACGUUCCCGGGCCUUGUACACACCGCCCGUCACACCAUGGGAGUGGGUUGCAAAAGAAGUAGGUAGCUUAACCUUCGGGAGGGCGCUUACCACUUUGUGAUUCAUGACUGGGGUGAAGUCGUAACAAGGUAACCGUAGGGGAACCUGCGGUUGGAUCACCUCCUUACCUUAAAGAAGC